rnacentral:rRNA from 1 species
CCUACGGGUGGCUGCAGUGGGGAAUCUUGCACAAUGGGGGAAACACUGAUGCAGCAACGCCGCGUGAGUGACGAAGUGUUUCGGUAUGUAAAGCUCUAUCAGCAGGGAAGAAGCAAGACGGUACCUGACUAAGAAGCCCCGGCUAACUACGUUCCAGCAGCCGCUGUAAUACGUCGGGGGCAAGCGUUAUCCGGAUUUAAUGGGUGUAAAGGGAGCGUAGACGGCUGGGCAAGUCUGAAGUGAAAGCCCGUGGCUCAACCGCGGAACUGCUUUGGAAACCGUAUAGUUUGAGGACUGGAGAGGCAGGCGGAAUUCCUAGUGUAGCGGUGAAAUGCGUAGAUAUUAGGAGGAACACCAGUGGCGAAGGCGGCCUGCUGGACAGAAACUGACGUUGAGGCUCGAAAGCGUGGGGAGCAAACAGGAUUAGAUACCCCUGUAGUC